rnacentral:rRNA from 1 species
CUAAUGAGACUGCCGGUGACAAACCGGAGGAAAGGUGGGGAUGACGUCAAGUCCUCAUGGCCCUUAUAGUGGGGCUACACACGUCAUACAAUGGCUGGUACAAAGGGUUGCCAACCCGCGAGGGGGAGCCAAUCCCAUAAAGCCAGUCGUAGUCCGGAUCGCAGUCUGCAACUCGACUGCGUGAAGUCGGAAUCGCUAGUAAUCGUGGAUCAGCAUGUCACGGUGAAUACGUUCCCGGGUCUU